GACGAACGCUGGCGGCGUGCUUAACACAUGCAAGUCGAACGGAAAGGCCCUGCUUUUGUGGGGUGCUCGAGUGGCGAACGGGUGAGUAACACGUGAGUAACCUGCCCUUGACUUUGGGAUAACUUCAGGAAACUGGGGCUAAUACCGGAUAGGAGCUCCUGCUGCAUGGUGGGGGUUGGAAAGUUUCGGCGGUUGGGGAUGGACUCGCGGCUUAUCAGCUUGUUGGUGGGGUAGUGGCUUACCAAGGCUUUGACGGGUAGCCGGCCUGAGAGGGUGACCGGCCACAUUGGGACUGAGAUACGGCCCAGACUCCUACGGGAGGCAGCAGUGGGGAAUAUUGCACAAUGGGCGGAAGCCUGAUGCAGCAACGCCGCGUGCGGGAUGACGGCCUUGGGGUUGUAAACCGCUUUAGCCUGUGACGAAGCGUGAGUGACGGUAAUGGGUAAAGAAGCACCGGCUAACUACGUG
rnacentral:rRNA from 1 species